rnacentral:rRNA from 1 species
UACGUAGGCAGCGAGCGUUGUUCGGAGUUACUGGGCGUAAAGGGUGUGUAGGCGGUUGAUUAAGUUUGGGGUGAAAUCUCCCGGCUCAACUGGGAGGGUGCGCCGAAUACUGAAUGACUUGGAGUGCGGGAGAGGAAAGUGGAAUUCCUGGUGUAGCGGUGAAAUGCGUAGAUAUCAGGAGGAACACCGGGGGUGUAGACGGCUUUCUGGACCGUAACUGACGCUGAGACACGAAAGCGUGGGUAGCAAACAGG